rnacentral:rRNA from 1 species
UACGUAGGGUGCAAGCGUUGUCCGGAAUUAUUGGGCGUAAAGAGCUCGUAGGCGGUUUGUUGCGUCGGCUGUGAAAUCCCGAGGCUCAACCUCGGGUCUGCAGUCGAUACGAGCAAACUAGAGUGUUGCAGGGGAGACUGGAAUUCCUGGUGUAGCGGUGAAAUGCGUAGAGAUCCGGAGGAACACCAGAGGCGAAGGCGGCCUACUGGGCUGCACCUGACGCUGAGCCGCGAAAGCCAGGGGAGCGAACGGG